GCCUUGGGCUCAUGACGAAACACCCACUAGCAUUGAUCUUUUAUUCCUCUUCCCUAUAAAAUAAAGGCCUUGGAAAUCACAAUUUUAUUUUUUUAAAGAAGUUGUUUUAGUGCCUAGAGUAAGACCACAUCAAAUGUUGUUAAAGAACCUAAUUUAGAUUGUGUGGUAUAUACCACUGUUUAUCUCAAUACACAGACACCUCUUACUUCUUGUUAUAAGUGAGAACUCUAAAGAAAAAUCAAACUCCCAAGUUUUCUGUAAACAUACGUUGGCAUCCAAAGGCGGAAGGCUCAUGGCUUCCCCACUAGAGGCGGCGUCUUGGGCUUUCCCAUUGGAUUGUGAAAGGCAUUAAGACUGUUUGGAGAUGUUGGCUGUAUUUCCUGUCACAUCAGGUUGUAUGAUGAUGAAUAAAAGGCGCUGUGACCCGUGUUUUCAAUUGCUGGCCUUCUGCUCCCGCUGCCUGUUAGGGA
rnacentral:lncRNA from 1 species